UAUUGGGCGUCCAUUUUAUACAUAGUAGAUAUAAACUUAUACUUAUAUGUUAAUAUUCACAAUAGUGUCAUUAGUAAAAUCGUGUUAAUUUGACGUCAUUUUUGAUCCAGUGUGGCUUAGAAAAAGUUAAAAGUCGACGCAUAUUAAAGAACCGAAUUCAUGGCAUUAAAACAAGGCAAUUCCCAAAACCGACACCUCGGUCGAUCAUGGAGGCACAUAGCAGAAGACAGAUUAUCAAAUCAGGACAAUGUAAUUUUAUCAACAGUUAAGCAAUUAGUGGAGAGUGGCUUAGAACAGAGUCAUCAGACUAAAUUUAAAAGAAGUGACAUGGAUGCUUCGAAGAAAUACACUUUUGAUCUUCACGUUCCCACUGGUAAGAAGUCAAAACUAGGGAUCAAGUUGACACGGAAGUUGACGGUGGAUGAAACGAGGCUGACUAUCAGACGUAUAGAUGCCAGAGAUUUGCCUUAUUCAGCUUGUAAAAGACAGCAAGGGACAGAGGAAUCGAAUAUAGAUAAACUUUAUUGUAAUUUGUUCGGACCCAAUCUUUGCCCUCACUGUAUCCAGGUCGCAGAUCAAGCUGAGUUUACCCACAUUCAGGACACAGCUUAUCCUAAAAUAGGCAUCAAUACCCGAUAUAUUGUGGCAGGUGGUAAACUCAAUAAAAAGAAAACAGGAAGUAAAGGUGUAUUUAUUUCCCCUUUUAACCGUCCAGUAGACGUAAAAACCAUAGAACAUGUUGUUUCCGAUGAAGACAUUCAUAAACGAUUACGAGGAAAAUACAUAACUUCAGGCAAUACAUUAGCCAUAAACUAUACUCCGCAUUAAGAAUAGCUGUAAUAAUAAAUAUUUAUGUAUUCUUACAAUGAUAGGAAGCUUUUGUGGCAUGUGAACCUAAUACCGCUAAUAUAUUAAAAAGCCCUCAACAGGGGCGUGUUCAGGAAUUCAAGCAGGGUGUUGUUGGGUGUGUGGGGGUGCCGGUGGGGUGUACAAGAUGGGUCACCGUCAAGUUUGGCCUUAGGUUUGUGGACUUUCUCGAGAAUUUGAUAAAAUCAGAAGCUCUGAGACAAGAUUUCUGCUCAUUUAGAUGUGUGGGGUAAGGCCAAGACGCCUACGGUUGUCGACUGAACGUUCGGCAAACGCACGUUUGGUUGUUCCAAGUUAUUUCGAUGAAUGGAGAAAAAUAAAUACUCUGCCCGAGAAGUCGAGGGUCCGGAACCCCAAUCCCCUCUGGAAACGCACUUGCUUAAGAUUUAAAAACAAAAAUACAACAGCAAUUAUAAGCCGUGUAAACUUUUCAAUAAACCCAGAGUCAGAUUAAGAUCCACGUGGAUCUAGUGCAAGAAAUCUGUCACUCUAUAAACAUUUAAGGAUUCCAAAAAUUGUAAUAAAAUUAAUAUUUUUUA